UACAAAAUAUUUCCAAGUAUUUUUGGUCUCAUUUCUAGCGCAAAUAUCAGAGUAAACUUCAAAUAAG